GAAGGGCUAUGGAUCAGUGGUAGAGCAUCUGCUUGGGAUGUAGAAGGUCCCAGGUUCAAUCCCCAGCAUCUUCA
rnacentral:tRNA from 1 species